rnacentral:SRP_RNA from 1 species
GAGGCAGGUUUCUUCAUGUUUGUCAGGCUAGUCUAGAACUCCUGACCUCAGGGAUUGCUGGAGUCCAGGAGUUCUGGGCUGUAGUGCGCUAUGCCGAUCGGGUGUCCACACUAAGUUCGGCAUCCAUAUGGUGACCUCCCAGGAGCGGGGGACCACCAGGUUGCCUAAGGAGGGGUGCACUGGCCCAGGUCAGAAACAGAGCAGGUCAAAACUCCCAUGUUGAUCAGUAGUAGGAUCCUGCCGGUGAAUAGCCACUGCACUCCAGCCUGGGCAACAGAGUGAGACCCC